rnacentral:misc_RNA from 1 species
GAUGAAGAACGCAGCGAAAUGCGAUAAGUAAUGCGAAUUGCAGAAUCCGUGAGUCAUCGAAUCUUUGAACGCACAUUGCGCCCCUUGGUUAUUCCGAAGGGCAUGCCUGUUCGAGCGUCAUUAUCACCCCUCAAGCCCUGGCUUGGUGUUGGACUUUAGUUAUAGCUUUGCCUAUCAACUGGUCUCAAAGAUAGUGACGGCGCCCCAGUGGGAACCGGGUACGAGGAGCUUUUUACUAAGCAUGUAUCUGGGACGACUCUGGGCGACGGUCUUGUUAUACUUUUUACCUAAGUGUUGACCUCGGAUCAGGUAGGAAUACCCGCUGAACUUAAGCAUAUCAAUAAGCGGAGGA